AACGCACAUUGCGCCUCCUGUUACAGGGAGGCAUGCCUGUCUGAGCGUCAUUUAAACCCAAUGCCGACGGCAUGCUCUGUCGUCGGCGUGUUGGGCCCUCGUCGGACCCGGUGUCGACGUGGCCUCGAAUGCAUUGGUCGAGUUGAGCGGACGAGAUCCCCUGGGACAUGAGACCGUUCACGAGACCCUAAGCCAUCUGAAUUUUGACCUCAGAUCAGGUAGGAACACCGCCUGAACUUAA
rnacentral:misc_RNA from 1 species